CAAACUCAUUGCCCAAGGGGGGAAAGCGGCCAUAUGCGGUAAGUACCUCUUUAACUGGGCGGUGAAGACC
rfam:Hepacivirus hominis isolate HK2, complete genome